AGAUGGCGACCGGCGCACGGGUGAGUAACACGUAUCCAACCUGCCGAUAACUCGGGGAUAGCCUUUCGGAAGAAAGAUUAAUACCCGAUGGCAUAAUAGAACCGCAUGGUUUGAUUAUUAAAGAAUUUCGGUUAUCGAUGGGGAUGCGUUCCAUUAGGCAGUUGGUGGGGUAACGGCCCACCAAACCUUCGAUGGAUAGGGGUUCUGAGAGGAAGGUCCCCCACAUUGGAACUGAGACACGGUCCAA
rnacentral:rRNA from 1 species